GUUUAGAAUAUCAUAUAGAGUGUCAGCAAUCAUUUACUUAUAAUAUUGAUAUUUAGAAAUUGAUUUUAAGCUAAAUACUUUUUUAAUUUUUUUGAUUUCCACCUUUUAAGUUCAGGGGUACAUGUGCAGGAUGUGUAGAUUUGUUACAUAGGUAAGUGUGUGCCCUGAUGGUUUGCUGCACAGAUCAUCACAUCACCUAGGUAUUGAGCCCAGCAUCCACUAGCUGUUUUCCUGAUGCUCUGCCUCCUCCCACCCCCACCCUCUGACAGGUCCCAGGGUAUGUUAUUCCCUUCCACGUGUUCUCAUGAUUCAGCUCCCACUUAUAAGUGAGAACACAUGGUGUUUGGUUUUUCUUGUUGUUGUUCCUG
rnacentral:lncRNA from 1 species